rnacentral:rRNA from 1 species
CCAUGCUAUCGGAGUCCGAUUUAGCAUCCUAGUUGUGCGGGUUAGGCCCGCAGCGGAAAGCUCAGUACACGUGGCCAAGCUACCCUGUGGACGGGAAUACUCUCGGGAACUGAGGCUAAUCCCGAUAACGCUUUGCUCCUGGAAGGGGCAAAGCCGGAAACGCUCCGGCGCCACAGGAUGCGGCUGCGGUCGAUUAGGUAGACGGUGGGGUAACGGCCCACCGUGCCUAUAAUCGGUACGGGUUGUGAGAGCAAGAGCCUCGGAGACGGAAUCUGAGACAAGAUUCCGGGCCUUACGGGGGCGCAGCCAGGCGGGGAAACCUUUACACUGUACGCAAGUGCGAUUAGGGGGAUUCCGAGUGUGAAGGGCAUAUAGCCUUCACUUUUGUACACCGUAAGGUGGUGUACGAAUAAGGACUGGGCAAGACCGGUGCCAGCCGCCGCGGUAAUACCGGCAGUCCGAGUGAUGGCCGAUAUUAUUGGGCCUAAAGCGUCCGUAGCUGGCUGAACAAGUCCGUUGGGAAAUCUGUCCGCUUAACGGGCAGGCGUCCAGCGGAAACUGUUCAGCUUGGGACCGGAAGACCUGAGGGGUACGUCUGGGGUAGGAGUGAAAUCCUGUAAUCCUGGACGGACCGCCGGUGGCGAAAGCGCCUCAGGAGAACGGAUCCGACAGUGAGGGACGAAAGCUAGGGUCUCGAACCGGAUUAGAUACCCGGGUAGUCCUAGCUGUAAACGAUGUCCGCUAGGUGUGGCGCAGGCUACGAGCCUGCGCUGUGCCGUAGGGAAGCCGAGAAGCGGACCGCCUGGGAAGUACGUCUGCAAGGAUGAAACUUAAAGGAAUUGGGGGGGGGAGCACUACAACCGGGAGGAGCCUGCGGUUUAAUGAUCUCUCCCCCCCCGGGAAA